rnacentral:rRNA from 1 species
UACGUAGGAUGCAAGCGUUAUCCGGAAUGAUUGGGCGUAAAGCGUCCGCAGGUGGCUAUGUAAGUCUGCUGUUAAAGAGUGAGGCUCAACCUCAUAAAAGCAGUGGAAACUACAUGGCUAGAGUGCGUUCGGGGCAGAGGGAAUUCCUGGUGUAGCGGUGAAAUGCGUAGAUAUCAGGAAGAACACCGGUGGCGAAAGCGCUCUGCUAGGCCGCAACUGACACUGAGGGACGAAAGCUAGGGGAGCGAAUGGG